GCCCGCUUAGCACAGUGGUAGUGCGCCGCACUUGUACUUCACAUAGUCUAUGCGGAGGUCGGUUGUUCAAUCCAGCCAGUGGGCA
rfam:Microdochium bolleyi strain J235TASD1 unplaced genomic scaffold Micbo1qcscaffold_1, whole genome shotgun sequence.